AAUAACAAAUAUGCCUUCUCCACCAAAUUGGGAAUUAAGACAUGAACCAAUUCUUCAUACACCAACUCACAUGUCAGAGACUGAAAAAAAUCCAUAAUUCGUUACUUUGAGAUGAAACUUUAUAUACAAAUGGAUUACAACAUAAUUGACACAGCAGAAAAAUUACAAAAAUAACUGUCAUAACUAACUGAAUAGAAUAGAAAUCAAGUUGGGGAGUCUAAUAGUUUGCNNNNNNAAAGAUGCAAGUUAUUAUUUUGAUUGUAUUUCUCUAAUUUUGUUCAACUUUCCCCUACUCUUAUUCUCAUUCUCAAUAUCAAAUUACUUCUGUCAUCAAAAUGAACUGAAGGGUUUAAAGUUCCUAUAGUUCCAAAGUUGAAGAGAUCUCAACAAUCUGAUUCACAUUACCAACCUUCAAGGAAUACUCUUGUUCAAAAAAAGCCUUCAAGGAAUACUCAUUAAAGGAGUCAAAACAUGUUCCCAUCCUAGAAUCCUGCAAAACAACAGACACAUAGUAAUAAAUUUGGUAAGAAUUCAUAUUCAUCUCUUUUAAAUGUUGGAAUUAUUCUAUUAGAGAAAAUGAUAUUUAUGAAACCAUAAGUAUGGUUUUAUGGUUUCAGAAAGUUAUACACUGAAACCAUUUACCAAGAGUAAUGGUUUCAAUGUAUAAACUACUGAAAUCAUUUUCAAAAUCAAAUUAGAAUCAAUACAAGCUAAAUCAAAAUCAAAAUCAUUCAACAUCAGAAUGAAAACAACAUUAUGCAUAUCAGAAUCAAAAUUAAAAUCAAGAUCAAAAGCAAAAUCAAAAUCAACUUAGAAUAGCAUAUCAGAAUCAAAGUAUUCAAUAAAGAUGUGGCUAUCAAAGUAUUUAAGAAUGGUAGUAUAAAUGAAAAUAUGCAGAGGGAGUUUUCUCAGGAAAUAUUUAUCAUGAGGUUUGUUCUAUCACAACGUUCACUCCUCCCCGCUCAUUCUAAGAAAUUUGAAUAUUAAAGUGAUGUUUCAUUUUCAGUUCUUAGUUUCCAACAUUCUUAUCUCAAAAUGUAACCAUGUUUUUUCUAUUGGUUAAUUGUAGAGGCAAUGAGAAUCACAUGUUUCUAUCUGCUGCAUUUUGUUAUUCUUGUUUUACUUGGUGUUUCUCUAGUGCAAGCAGAAGAUGCAUACANNNNNNNNNAACACCAGCCAAAGAUCACAAAUACGACAAGAAAGGCAAGGCAUAAACAAACUAUGAGUAUUAUCAUUUAAUAUUUUUGAUAUCUUUUUGAAUCAUUAUAUAUCUUGUGUGAACUUGGUUAUUGUUUCCAUUGAAAAAGUAACACAAUUAAGAGUAUGAACUUGUAACAAUGCCUAAUAUACUUCUUAAGAUUCUUCCACAAAAUAAAAAAAUUCUAGGUAAUUUCAUCAGAUUGCAUACCGGCAAUAUACAUUCCCAAAUCCUAAAUAUCCAUUCACAAUGGGCUUAUAUGAGAAAGCCAAACAUAAAUAAGUUAAAUGGGUCGGGUCAGAAUUUAAUUGUUUUCUUCUUCUUCCUCAACCUAAUAGUAACAGGUGCAGCAGAUCACGACCACCACCACCACCGAAAAACCAUAAACUCAGAACAACAAAUCAAGGGUAAAAAUAUAGCUCUAAUUCCCAAAUAAACUCAGAACAACAAAUAUAAACUCAGAACAACAAAUCGUGUCUCACAGAGUCAAUCCAAACCAAAAUAAAACCUAAUUCCUAAAAUAAAAGUAAAAAUAUAGUUCUAACCUGUUUUCUUUUCACCAUUUUGUGUUUGGUUCGUUCAAAUGUUGGCGACGGUGAAGAUGAUGAAAUGAUGUUGAUGAUGAACGGUGUUGUGAUUGGGAGAUGGUUGGAACCACUUUAUGUUAGAAUUGACUUUCAAACCAGAUUAAAUUAGUGGUAAAAGAAAAUAAAAAAUGAAAAACGUUGUGGUAUGUAAAGAUGUGACUAUUGAGUUGUGCAUAAGUUCACCUUUUGCGUGCAACCAUAUGUACUAGAAAGCUAAUAGUAAAUAUUUUGUUAUUCUUUUGAUAGUUGAUCGGAACUUUGCUUCUUUGCGGGUAGUAUGUAGUAAGAGUAAAGUGUUUUAUAAUGAAAUAGUAAUUAUUAUUGAUCUUAACUGUUGAUCAGAACAGGUAGAAGACCAGCUGGAAGUCCGUUGAGCAGGUGAUAGGCAGCAGGUCCGAGCAGAUGAUCCACGGAGGGGGGGUUGUACCUGCAGGUGCUCCGAUGCCUAAGUCAGUAAAGGUAGAGAGCAAAAGAGAUACUAGAGAGAAGUUAG
rnacentral:lncRNA from 1 species